UUCAGUGUAUGUAUAUAACUUUGCACAUUUUGUAAUUUUGAAUUUUAAGCACAACAGUAGCGUAGCAGUAUGGUAAUGCCAAAGCAUAUGCUCCAGUACUUUAUGCCGUUACCUCGCCGCGAAUAAGGUCGUUGAUUUUCAGUGAACCUUCCUUUGGCACUCGAAAACGGUAAGUAUAAGGUGUCCCUUUCUCUAACUCCUGUUGUACUUCUGCAUCUGAAGCAGUUGCCCACUUUCCCAUGUAUACAGGAGGAAGUUUCAUCCGAUUCGCAGUUUCCUUCAUUUUUUCAAGUUCCUGAAGUCAUAAUAGCAAUUGUCAAACUAGCUAAUAUUUGAUUAGUGAAUAUUACAGACAGGUCGGAUCAUGAGUCUACUUGAAACAACAUCCCUGAAUUGUUCAUUGGGUUUUAACCGACUCAUUUGACAUGGGUCAUUGUAGCAUUAGUCACAUUAAAAUUUUCACUAGGAGCACAAAAGCCCAAGCAUUUUACUCAAAAGCAAACAAGAGAAUACUAGUAUAGGAGAAUUUUACUAAGUUCCAUGCUAAUAAGAUGCAGAAAAAACAGCCUACAUCACAUAUACUUGAAACUGGAAUCAUGAAAAUCAUCUCUCGUUAUGCAGGCGGCAAACAUGGAGGUCAAAAGUGGGGAACGGGGUACCUCGCUGGAGCAGAAGCAGCGAUAAACUGCAUCAGACUCCAUCAACUUCUCGGCAUGCUGUUUGUAUAGUGAAUUGCGCUCCGACUGGCGGUAAGGGCCAAAUUCGCCGCCAACGUCCGGACCUAAACAGGUGAUAUAAAUGAGCACUGGCAUUCUCUAACAAUUCAUAGGCAGAAGAGUUAACUCUACUGAUUCAAUACUUCAACGGAAGUACAAAGCGGAAUGAAGCAACUCCACCAUUGCAAACUAUGCUCCGUAGUGGAACGGAACAACCCAACGCAGCAACAGAAAUCUGUCAUCAUCGGAAGCUGUAGAUUGACUCGGAAGAACGAACCAACGGUAAUUACCUUCGUCCCAGUCGAGGCCGAGCCAGGAGAGGUCGCUGAGGACGGCGUCCUCGGACUCCUUGGUGGAGCGCUGGAGGUCGGUGUCCUCGACGCGGAGCACGAACUUGCCGCCCCUGGAGCGCGCGAAGAGGUAGUUGAAGAGCGCGGUGCGGGCGCCCCCGACGUGGAGGUUGCCGGUCGGGGAAGGCGCGAAGCGGACGCGGACGGGCCCGCCGUCGUCGCCAGCGGAGGCGGAGGCGCGGACGGAGAGCGUGCGGCGGAGGAGGCGCUGCGCCGGCGCGGACGGGAGCAGCCUGAUGCGGAGCCACGGCGACCCCAUGAAGGUGCUCGCCGCCAUCUCCUCCGGUCGUCGCCUUCGAAAGCCCGGAAGUGGAUUGGAUUUGGAUUACGGCGACGAGGUUGGGCAAGAUAGGCUGGGCUGGCUUUGACUUUGGGGGCCCAAAGCCCAGUUCAUGAUUCACGACCGGGGUGUCUGGAUGACGCGUGGAGCCUACAUGGCAGGGAGCAGUUAGCUUUUUACUCUCUCUCUCUCUGUUGUUGACAAAAUCUACAGAGUGAACGCUUCCUCCCUGGUAUUCCUCAGUGAACAGCGCGAGAAGAUAGGAACAGGGUGCAACACACUUGUGGGGUGAGAGACAUUGUUGCGACACCCUUCUUCCUCUUGAGCCUAGGGGGAUGAUUGUCGAGGAUGAGCGACCGGCAACAAGGUGGAUCAAUGGACGGGGCGGCGAGAUGCGGCAUAACCGUGCAAGAUGUGGUCAAUGGAGCCGGCAAGCCGAGAUCAACGAUGAUGAACCAGCGGGGGUGGAGCAAAUGAAGAUGUAUCAUCACUCUUUUCAUAAUCACUUUUAGUGGGCGAAGGGUAACACAUUUUGUCCGUGCUAGCUCAAUUCUACAAAGAACGAUGUUUUUUUUAUAAAAAAGCACGCAUUUUAACAUCCGAACCGUUCACGACAAUCCAGAACCACGAGUCAACAACAACCCAUUAGACUUGUCAAAGAAAAAGCGAAAUGUAAUUAAACUCGUCAUCAUUUCCUCACUAAGUUCGUACUAAAUCAUUAACACUUAUUAUGCAUCGGAGCGAAUACAAAAGAAGUGCCGGUUCAAGUUUGAAAAUGCCGCAGUAGCAAACGGAGCCAUGCCUGAUUUACAUUACAAAUUCUACAAACGAAACGCUCAUGGAUGCUUUGCUAGCACAAUCAUCCCAAAAACCCAACAAAAUAUCUCCGACCAAAGAAUAUAGAAGCACGCAAGUUACAUAUGGGUGACGGGAAGAAUAUAAUCUAGCUCUCGGAUCGGGCACAUAUGCUCUGGGGAGAUGUAAAGCAAAAAAAGAAAAAUGGAAAGCUAAAAGCGAAAAAAUGGAAAAGGAAAACGAAUUUGUGUAUGUAUGGCUAUGGCCCUGUCUAUCGCAAUGUGGAAUAAAGAAGCGUCUAGAGUCUAAGCCUAGAUUAUGUGCCGCAUGCCGCACCUUGGACGGCGCGCAUCAUCCAUCUUUCUUGAUUGGUUCAACAGAAAAAAAGAAAGAAAGAAAAAUGCGUGACCAAAUGGAGACUGCCAUGGAGCUUGGGACUUGUCAAAAUCAAUUUUAGCUAGUGAAUCCAUUUUGUUUACUGAACUAUUUUUGACCGAUAACAAAGAUAUGAAGGCCUGUUCUGGUAAAAAAAAAAUAACACUCGGCGCCGGCUUCUUCAGAGCUGAGACCCAAAGACGCCGAAAAUCACUGUAUGGGGUUGGGCAGUAGAGGGGCAGAGUGGUAAAAAAAGGGACUGGUUUUUACCUCUGCUGUUGGAUGGAGAGCUACAGCAGCCUCGAGUGGCGUGUAGCAGCUGGUAGAGUGCCAUGUGGAGGCAAAGCACAGUGCGUGGAUAGGCACAAGAGCCAGGCGAGACGAGACACCGACAGAGCCAAGCAAUGCACAGUCACAGCAGCAGCAGCAGCACAAGAAGCAGAACAAGUCAUCAGUAAACUUUCGAGCACGAGAAAGAGCCGGCCACCUGACGAUGCUUCUCAGGCUUUUGUACUAGUACUACUACUAGAAAUAUUAUUGUUGAAAAUAAUAUAAGUAACCUAUACUCCAGACCUCCAGCAGUGCUAUCAGGAGGGUACCAGCAGCACCAGUCUGUUCCUUUUUUUUGUUUUCUCCAAUCCCAUCAACCAAACUGUACAGCACAUGUACGUUCAGUUCUAUCUAUCCAGACCAAGUGAUCAAAGAUUAAGAGUGAUAUACUAAUUAGUACAAGUAAGCAUGAAAACUUCACAGUUCAUGCUCACAGGUCUCUAGGGUCUAGCAUCCAAGAUUUAAGCAAGCAGAUGUCUGAACCAGUGUUAGUGAUACUCCAAAAGAGCACCAGACAGGGCAUGACACCCCAUGGUUGGGGAACUGACACCACUCGCGCGUGCCACACCGUCAGAGAUCAGAGCAAGGAAAAGGAUGGAGGUAAGUUAAAUACUACUGUAAGUACACACAGCAUGCAGUACAGUAACUUUCCGCUGCAAAAACAAAGAAAGGUAGUACAGCUACCUCUCAUUGUUCAGCCCAAACAAACAAAACUUUACUUUUGCAAUGCAGCUAAAGAAAGUGAUGACAUUGUACUGCUCUACAGUGGUAGGAGUAUUAGUUUACUACGAUUAACCCAAUCAGAACUCUGCAUAGUACUAAUUCACCUUUUGUACUGCAAGUAAAGCAGGUGACAGUGUGCAACAUAUAGUUAACUACUAGGAUUAACCAAAGCAAGAAGUUUGCAUAAACUUCAGCAGGUGACAGAGAGUGUGCUGCGGGAGCGGAUUAGUGUACUACGAUUAAACCCAAGCAUAACUUCACUUCUGCAUAGCAGAUGAAUCAUGAAUGCAUACUAGUACUAGCCAGGAUUAAUCAAUACUAACAGGGUACACUAAUCAUUGGGAUCUGACAAUAAAGAGAGAUAGAUCAUAGCGGACAAUAACCAACUUUUAAUUCUCGAUGGAACCAAAAAAGCGAGAGAUUGUUUUUGAAAUCUCCUCAUCACAUCACCACAGGCACAGGAAAAAUGAAUUACCAAUCCAUCAUGACGAUCAUAAAACAUUAACCAGAGUACUGAGACCAGACCCAAUUCAUAGCAAAAGCAUCACACGACGACGACGACGACCAACAGAAUCCAACGACGGGGAAGGGGAAGGGGGAGGGGAAAUAAACUGAGGGAAGCGGCUCAGGCAAGCCAAGCAAGCUAGCGCUCCAAAUUUAACAAUCCAGAUCCAUCGGCAAAACUAAGACCAAUAACUCCGACGGCCGGCCGGCUUUAAGAGGAGAGGUAUUUAGGCGGAGAUCUAUAUGGAGAUGGGGGAUAUAAUCGGGAGAUCGGGUGGUUGGUUGAACGAACUAACGAUCGAUCUCUCACUUGGUGCAGUCGCGGGCCAUGUGGCCGGGCUCGCCGCAGUUGUAGCAGUUGCCGCCGCCACCGCCGCCCCCACCGCCGAACCUCCCGCCGCCGCCACCGCCGCCGAAGCCGCCGUUGGUGGGGCAGUCCCUGGCGAGAUGUCCAGGCUCGCCGCAGUUGUAGCAGUUGCCGCCGCCGCCGCCGCCACCGCCGCUGCGGAAGCCGCCGCCGUUGGUGGGGCAGUCCCUGGCGAGAUGUCCAGGCUCGCCGCAGUUGUAGCAGGCAC
rnacentral:lncRNA from 1 species